UGGGGAAUUUUGGACAAUGGGCGAAAGCCUGAUCCAGCAAUGCCGCGUGUGUGAAGAAGGCCUUCGGGUUGUAAAGCACUUUUGUCCGGAAAGAAAUCCUUGGCUCUAAUACAGUCGGGGGAUGACGGUACCGGAAGAAUAAGCACCGGCUAACUACGUGCCAGCAGCCGCGGUAAUACGUAGGGUGCAAGCGUUAAUCGGAAUUACUGGGCGUAAAGCGUGCGCAGGCGGUUUGCUAAGACCGAUGUGAAAUCCCCGGGCUCAACCUGGGAACUGCAUUGGUGACUGGCAGGCUAGAGUAUGGCAGAGGGGGGUAGAAUUCCACGUGUAGCAGUGAAAUGCGUAGAGAUGUGGAGGAAUACCGAUGGCGAAGGCAGCCCCCUGGGCCAAUACUGACGCUCAUGCACGAAAGCGUGGGGAGCAAACAGGAUUAGAUACCCUGGUAGUCCACGCCCUAAAACGACGUCAACUAGUUGUUGGGGAUUCAUUUCCUAGUAACGUAGCUAACGCGUGAAGUUGACCGCCUGGGGAGUACGGUCGCAAGAUUAAAACUCAAAGGAAUUGACGGGGUCAUAGCUGUUUCCU
rnacentral:rRNA from 1 species